UAGAAAAUAAUAUAAGGGGAGUAUGAAGGGUUUUGAUCCCUUUUGUGUAGGUUCAAUUCCUACUUUUCUAAGUU
rnacentral:tRNA from 1 species